rnacentral:rRNA from 1 species
AUUGAACGCUGGCGGCAGGCUUAACACAUGCAAGUCGAGCGGAGCGAGGGUGCUUGCACCUUAGCUUAGCGGCGGACGGGUGAGUAAUGCUUAGGAAUCUGCCUAUUAGUGGGGGACAACAUUCCGAAAGGAAUGCUAAUACCGCAUACGCCCUACGGGGGAAAGCAGGGGAUCUUCGGACCUUGCGCUAAAAGAUGAGCCAAAGUCGGAUUAGCUAGUUGGUGGGGUAAAGGCCUACCAAGGCGACGAUAUGUAGCGGGUCUGAGAGGAUGAUCCGCCACACUGGGACUGAGACACGGCCCAGACUCCUACGGGAGGCAGCAGUGGGGAAUAUUGGACAAUGGGCGGAAGCCUGAUCCAGCCAUGCCGCGUGUGUGAAGAAGGCCUUUUGGUUGUAAAGCACUUUAAGCGAGGAGGAGGCUACUUAGAUUAAUACUCUGGGAUAGUGGACGUUACUCGCAGAAUAAGCACUGGCUAACUCUGUGCCAGCCGCCGCCGUAA